CGGCGCGCCUAACACAUGCAAGUCGAACGGAGCGUACCGGCUGAAGCCCUUCGGGGUGGAAAUUGGUAUUGCUUAGUGGCGAACGGGUGAGUAACACGUGAGCAACCUGCCCUAGAGUGGGGGACAACAUCUGGAAACGGAUGCUAAUACCGCAUAAGACCACAGUGCCGAGUGACACAGUGGCCAAAGGAUUUAUUCGCUUUAGGAUGGGCUCGCGCCUGAUUAGCUAGUUGGUAAGGUAAUGGCUUACCAAGGCAACGAUCAGUAGCCGGACUGAGAGGUCGAUCGGCCACAUUGGGACUGAGACACGGCCCAGACUCCUACGGGAGGCAGCAGUGGGGAAUAUUGGGCAAUGGGCGAAAGCCUGACCCAGCGACGCCGCGUGAGGGAAGAAGGUUUUCGGAUUGUAAACCUCUGUCUUCGGGGAAGAUAAUGACGGUACCCGAGGAGGAAGCCACGGCUAACUACGUGCCAGCCGCCGCAGUAAGAC
rnacentral:rRNA from 1 species